rnacentral:rRNA from 1 species
GCCGAUGUCUGAUUAGCUAGUUGGUGGGGUAAAGGCUUACCAAGGCAACGAUCAGUAGUUGGUCUGAGAGGACGGCCAACCACACUGGGACUGAGACACGGCCCAGACUCCUACGGGAGGCAGCAGUGGGGAAUUUUGGACAAUGGGCGAAAGCCUGAUCCAGCCAUGCCGCGUGAGUGGAGAAGGCCUUCGGGUUGUAAAGCUCUUUUAGUCGGAAAGAAAGAGUUGCAAUGAAUAAUUGUGAUUUAUGACGGUACCGACAGAAAAAGCACCGGCUAACUACGUGCCAGCAGCCGCGGUAAUACGUAGGGUGCGAGCGUUAAUCGGAAUUACUGGGCGUAAAGGGUGCGCAGGCGGUCUUGCAAGUCAGAUGUGAAAGCCCCGGGCUUAACCUGGGAAUUGCGUUUGAAACUACAAGGCUAGAGUGCAGCAGAGGGGAGUGGAAUUCCAUGUGUAGCAG